GUGAUUCUACUGUAUUUUAUAUUUUAGCUAUUAUUCUAAAAAGUAACCAUUGCUUUUUGUACAUGAUUUUAGCUCUGAAAAUUUCCUGUCAGCAAGAAGUCAUUUCCCAGGUGGGAUUUUAGAGGAUCCUAAAUCAUGGGCCUUUGCUGUCAGCUGUCAUGAGAGGGGGAAGAAUUGAGGAAGUAGACAGCAGAUAAGGCUGGGAAAUAUAUUCUCUUUCUGAGAAAAAAAUAAUUUUCAGAGAUGGCAUCUUUCUAUGUUACCCAGUCUGCGGAUCAGUGGCAAUUCACUCUUCACAGCGACCAUGGCACUACUGAUCAGCACGAGACUCAGAGUUUCUUCUCAAAUGUACACUGAUAAAUACUCAACUGAAGAUUCAACUGAAAUCCUCUAUGGGUCUCCAGACUCCCCCAUUCUGGAACUCUUCCCUGCAAAUUCCAGCUGCCUAAACUCCCUUCCAUCUCUCAGUUUCUCUAUAACUGAGGAACACCGUCAGGCUCCAGCUGGAUUUUCCUUCCUUGUGCACUGAUCUGGAAAGUCUUUCACAUCAGUAAGUGAGGGAAAUCAUAGAGUUCUCCUGGAUAGAAGAGGCCCUGGUUAGCAGCUUCAGAUGAUGGAUACAUAAAAAUGGGAGAGAGAAAACAUAUAAGAGUGACUAAUUGUUGAGUUUCCAGGGCUCAAACCAAUCUUGAAUUGGAAUUUCAAGACAUAAAAACCACUGCAGGAACCUGCUGGAGAAACGGCCUCUGGUAUCUCUAUCUGAAAUAUGAUUAUCUUAAGUUCGCAAAGCAUUGUGUCUGCAGUGUGAGUUUGAAAACAACAAUGUUAAGGCAACUUCGCAGCUUCUUAAUCAAGCCCUUCUCCAUCUCUCCGUGUGGUUUUUGGGGUGGUGGAGGUGGAGCCAAAAAAGAGAGGGCAGUUUCCCAGGGCUGAAGAUGCUACCAUGACUCAUAGGAUCUAUGCAAACCCUGUGAGUGAAUUCUGAGGAAGAAGAAUGAGUAAUAUUUUGAUUUUAUUACUGAUGGUAAUAAGAUAGUAUCAUCAGUGUGGUAUAUUCUGAUUACUGAAUUCUAUUCCCUAUUUUCUUCCUGUGGCCAAAUAAAAUUUGUGUGUGUAAGCUAUGAUAUUUAGUGUUGUUAUCUGAUGAGACAGGUUUAGUGGAAAAGUUCAUUUUAAAUAAACAUUAAAAUUGUUUCAGCCUCAGAUUUUUAAUCCAAAUCAUUCCUUUGACACCAGAAGAAUUUUCCUCAGAGUCAACUCCAAAGAUAAAGCUGCCUGUUUUCCUAUUUGCCCAGAAGUAAAGAGGUUGCAAAA
rnacentral:lncRNA from 1 species